AUUGAACGCUGUCGGCAGGCCUAACACAUGCAAGUCGAGCGGAUGAAGGGAGCUUGCUCCUGGAUUCAGCGGCGGACGGGUGAGUAAUGCCUAGGAAUCUGCCUGGUAGUGGGGGAUAACGUCCGGAAACGGGCGCUAAUACCGCAUACGUCCUGAGGGAGAAAGUGGGGGAUCUUCGGACCUCACGCUAUCAGAUGAGCCUAGGUCGGAUUAGCUAGUUGGUGGGGUAAAGGCCCACCAAGGCGACGAUCCGUAACUGGUCUGAGAGGAUGAUCAGUCACACUGGAACUGAGACACGGUCCAGACUCCUACGGGAGGCAGCAGUGGGGAAUAUUGGACAAUGGGCGAAAGCCUGAUCCAGCCAUGCCGCGUGUGUGAAGAAGGUCUUCGGAUUGUAAAGCACUUUAAGUUGGGAGGAAGGGCAGUAAGUUAAUACCUUGCUGUUUUGACGUUACCAACAGAAUAAGCACCGGCUAACUUCGUG
rnacentral:rRNA from 1 species